rnacentral:rRNA from 1 species
CCUGGAGCCUUUGGCCACGUGGGUACUCUACGGAAGGCAGCAGUAGGGAAUCUUCCGCAAUGGACGAAAGUCUGACGGAGCAACGCCGCGUGAGCGAAAAAGGCUUCGGGUCGUAAAGCUCUGUUGUUAGGGAAGAACAAGUACCAGAGUAACUCGCUCGACUUGACGGUCCUAACCAGAAACCACGGCUAC